GCAAUCUACCUUUUACAGAGGGAUAGCCCAGAGAAAUUUGGAUUAAUACCUCAUAGUAUUAUGAAAUGGCAUCAUUUUAUAAUUAAAGUCACAACGGUAAAAGAUGAGCAUGCGUCCCAUUAGCUAGUUGGUAAGGUAACGGCUUACCAAGGCUACGAUGGGUAGGGGUCCUGAGAGGGAGAUCCCCCACACUGGUACUGAGACACGGACCAGACUCCUACGGGAGGCAGCAGUGAGGAAUAUUGGACAAUGGGCGCAAGCCUGAUCCAGCCAUGCCGCGUGCAGGAUGACGGUCCUAUGGAUUGUAAACUGCUUUUAUACAGGAAGAAACCCUGGUUCGUGAACCAGCUUGACGGUACUGUAAGAAUAAGGAUCGGCUAACUCCGUGCCAGCAGCCGCGGUAAUACGGAGGAUCCAAGCGUUAUCCGGAAUCAUUGGGUUUAAAGGGUCCGUAGGCGGUUUAGUAAGUCAGUGGUGAAAGCCCAUCGCUCAACGGUGGAACGGCCAUUGAUACUGCUAAACUUGAAUUAUUAGGAAGUAACUAGAAUA
rnacentral:rRNA from 1 species